AGCAGCCGCGGUAAUUCCAGCUCCAAUAGCGUAUAUUAAAGUUGUUGCAGUUAAAAAGCUCGUAGUUGAAUUUCGGGGUUAGUAAGUUGGUCAUGCCUUCGGUAUGUACUGGCUUUACUGAUUCCUCCUUCUUGACGAACCGUGAUGUCAUUAAUUUGGUAUUGCGGGAAAUCAGGACUGUUACUUUGAAAAAAUUAGAGUGUUUAAAGCAGGCUAACGCUUGAAUACAUUAGCAUGGAAUAAUGAAAUAGGACGUUAAUCCUAUUUUGUUGGUUUCUAGGAUCGACGUAAUGAUUAAUAGGGAUAGUUGGGGGCAUUAGUAUUCAAUUGUCAGAGGUGAAAUUCUUGGAUUUAUUGAAGACUAACUACUGCGAAAGCAUUUGCCAAGGAUGUUUUCAUUAAUCAAGAACGAAAGUUAGGGGAUCGAAGACGAUCAGAUACCGUCGUAGUCUUAACCAUAAACUAUGCCGACUAGGGAUCGGAUGAUGUUAUUUUUAAUGACUCAUUCGGCGCCUUACGG
rnacentral:rRNA from 1 species